GAUCGGCGGCAAGUUCCGCCUGUUUGAAACGCUGUCAGUGCCCUACGAUCCAUUCCGUUCAUAAUGCUGAAGCCUCAGAAUUGCCGAAGCAAUGCAGAUUGCACUGUGAGGGGCCAGGGGACAGGAUAACGAGGACCCCGCUCUCCAGAAAGCCACAGGCAAGGAGGAAUAGGAGCUUUUAUUUGGCAGAUGGUAACCGCUUUGCAAGCGUUGGUUAAAUUGUUUCUAGACAGAAAACAAGUACGAAUGUCAGAUUAUAGGAAGAGCCAUAACUUAGCGGGGAUGGUCGGGUUGGGCCCUUUUAAUGAGGGGUAGUUAGAGAAAACUCGGGUGGGAAUGAAAGUGGUUAGAGAAAACUCAAGGUGACAAUUUACCUGAGAGUGGUGGUAAGACAAGGAAGUAACCCAAAUUCGAGCCAGGGUAAAAACAUGCCUCAUGGAAGGCACAGCAAAAACAAAGGCCAUGCGGCAGGAGAGGACUUGGUGUGUUUCAAAACGAAUAUCCUGUGCGAGGGAAGAGUGAGGUUAAAGAUGGUGAGAAGGGCCAGGUCAUGGUUAAGGCUUUUCUGAGUCCCGAAGGUAGGAAAUGAGGGAGCCAAACACCAUUUAUUUAACUAAAGCAAGCAUGUCAAACUCACGGCCCAUAAUGAAUAUUUUUGCAGCCCAGCCAAUAUAAUGGACUUCAGAGAUUUAAACCUGGGCUUCCUCCAUCUCGCCUGAAUCGCUGUCAACUGCCUUUAAAGCUGGGAAAAGCCUUGCACUAAGAAAAUAGGAUUUUCCACACAGGCAUUUUGAACGAAGGAGUGGACCUAAAUAUUCAUUAAAUGUGUUGCCCCUUUCAUCCCUGUCAACACUCCCUUUACACAUAGCAACUUAUUUCUUUCCUAACCAGUUCUGCUCUGGUCAGCUUUGCCCGAGCUCUCCAUGUUUGAUUUAAGUCAUCUCCCUAAUCUGCAAAUAUGACCAUGUCCCUCCCCUAUUCCUAGGGUAUAAAUCCUGAACUCCUUCCUUGACAGGUCAUGCAAGAUCCACUAUAAUUGGGGCCUUUCUCUCUCUUUUGUCUGACCUCCUGAUGGUUAACCUUCAAACCCUGCAUAUUAAUACUACUGGACUGCUUGUGAUCAUAUAUAUAUUGUUUCAAGACUCAGUGCUUUUGUGCAUCUUAUUGCUUCUGCCUGAAAUGCCUUUAUUCUUCUAAUUCUUUUUAAAAAAAUAUAUUUUAUUGAUUUUUUACAGAGAGGAAGGGAGAGGGAUAGAGAGUUAGAAACAUUGAUGAGAGAGAAACAUCAAUUCAGCUGCCUCCUGCACACUCUCUACUGGGGAUGUGCCCACAACCAAGGUACAUGCCCUUGACCGGAAUCGAACCUGGGACCCUUCCGUCCGCAGGCCGAUGCUCUAUCCACUGAGCCAAACCAGUUAGGGCUCUCCUUCUAAUUCUUAUUCAACUUUCCAGACUUAACUGCCUUCCUCUGGGAUCUCACAGCAUCUUGUACUUCUUGUCAUAAACCAAGUAAAAUACAUAUGAUUGGCUAACGUGUCUGUCUCCUCCAUUGACAGUACACUAGGAGCCAUAUCUUAUUCCCCUUUGUGCCCCUACAUCAUGUACAGUGAUGUACAUGUAGAUAUUACUAACAUUUUCACCGCUUCUUGCUUCCACCUGUUGUGUGUGUGUGUGUGUGUGUGUGUGUGUUUGAAUCAUUUUCUCUGCUCCUGGUACCUUAGUUAUGCCCUAUUUUAUUUACCACCAUGGUAUGUUAAAAGGAAAAAUAUCAGCUUUCUCGCUCUGACUCAGACACCACUUCUGAGCUUUUGAUUAUUCAGCUGCUUUGGUAACAUCUACACUUGCAUGUCUCCCAGGAAUCCAAAAUCAAGAUCCGGCUAUCCUCCAGUGUUCCAUUCUUUAUCAAUGGCACCUUGUUGAGUAUGCCAGAAAGUAGAAGUCAUGCCAACUCAUUCUGUUUUCUAAAUUCCCCAAACAUCAGAUGGUUGUAUAUAUAUAUUCAUUCUUGACUUGUUAAAAAAAAUGUGCAUUAAAACACUGAAAAAAUAAAUCAGUAUAUUAACAAUGGUUUGGUGGUUUCAUGUCUCCCCGUUCUUUGAAAGUUUUCUACAGAAAGGAUGUGGUACUUACAUAAGGAGAGAAAAGAUGCUAAUGUCAUUUUUUGGAGCAGCAGAAAAUUUUCAGUCAAAUUAGACAUGCUCUGGCAGCGAAAAUCCCCCUACCGUUAAGCUGUACAGACUGUAGCACUCUGCUUCACCUGGUGGCAAUCAAAUUCCAGGAACAGACCUGAAUCUACAUUUUAAAUAGUAUCCUCAGCGAAGACUCCAUCCCUAAAAUUGAAGGAAACAUUGUCUUUUAAGGUUCUCUAUCUUGAUCUGGUUGGUGGAUCAUGGCUCUAACUUAAAAAUUCCAGAUUUUUGAAAUUGGGAGAACAACAGAGACUUUCUACUAAGCCUUAUUUUUCUGAAUUAAAAACACCAACUAUUUUUACUGUGGAGUGAUUUCAUAACAUAAAGGGCACUUCAAAAUCCUGAAAGUAUAAUCUCAAUAAACAGCAAUCCCUAAAUACAUUU